CCCGGUUGGAAAUUCCAACGAAAGGCAGAUGUCGCCUCUUGCUUUAAUAUCGAGGAGCCACUGUGGCCACGGGCCGGCCGGUCUCCCUCGGCCGUUCACGCGCACUAGCUCUGCCCACCGGUGUAAUCAGAAUGCCCUAGAUUCGUGAAACCGAAUCGGCUGGUGGCUGUCGCACCGGCCUGCAGUUAAAAAUCCAGGGUGUCUCGCCAGAGUCUACGGAAGCCGGUGGGGCGGGACUUUCGUCUGCGCCUACCUACCCCACUGACUCGUAAAUCGGACGCUCUUUCUCCAGUGAAGCGCCGAGCCACACCACUGCGAUGGCUUUUCAGUGCUACCGUGGGGACUCUGAACUCUUCCAGAGUUUGUCGGUCCUCUACCGGAGGCUCAGAAACCAGAUGUCAGUGAGCGGGUUCGCUGGCUCAGACCCACGCAUUGCUCCUGGCGCGACACCAGUUGGACGAACUGCACCAACAGCAGCGAAAUGCCUGGUCCCACUCCUCGGAGCCCGACCUUUGGAUUCGAUGUUCUGCUAAACAGUUCCGGAGGCGAGGCGAGACUGGGGUAGCCACCGUGUACACAUCAAGGAUGGUGGCUACAAGACUGCGUAGCUAUUUGUUGGGGAUCGACCGUUUCGUGAGGGGGCGGCAGGCAAAAGGGUCUUAGACGGAAGAAGCAGUUAGACACGAAACUUCGUCCGAAAAGUCAAAAUGUGCCUCGACAUGAGACCUGCGAAUACGCCAAGGACCACACAUGCAACGAUCGCAGCCAAAAAGUAGAGUUUCCGCCUCAAAUUGAAGCCCUUCUUGUGCGCCACUCGCCUCCCACCACCGUUCUUCCGCAGCUUCUCCUUCCUCCCCUGACGUUUCGCCCAGGCGUCCCAGGGUCGCCACAUCAUCGUCCCUUUACGCCUCCGUGUCCCCCUGGGCACCUUCCUGCCUUGACGUUUCUUUCCCAUGAGCGCCUUGGCUUUUCUACGCGUUCUGUCGCGAGGGCGGGCCUUUUUUUUGUGCCGCCCCUUCAAUGGUUUUCGCCUGGCCUUCUCUUUGAGUUUUGCCUCCCUCAUCUCCUCGAGUACCAGCUCGUGUAUCCGUCUUUCCGCACUGUCAUUCUGCCUAGCUUCGAUUCCCUCGACUGCCCUCAGUAUUCUCGAGAUCUCAGUGCGAAUCCGACGGUUCUGUUUUAGCGCGGACGCCGCGCUCUGCCCCCGGAAUUUGUCAUAAUCUCUUCUGAGGCGGACGGGCUGUUCGGAUUCGUGGUCGGAUGCUGGGACGACCAACUCCGGCACAACAUCACUCAUCCACUCGUCAAAGAGGAAAUGAGACAAAGCCGCUUCGCUCCCUUGUGCAUUGGCAACGGGGCUGUCGUAUGCCGCCAGAAAAGCCAGGCAAAUGUACAGCAGAACUGCUGCCGAAGCACACCACCGGCUCCGCGCCAUUUUAGCUUCUGGCGCCCACCGGUUCUAACGCAGAAGGAAGAAGCGGAUGGAAGGCGAAGAGGAAAAGCUGAGCAUGAAGGUAAGGUGCAGAGUGGAGCGCGUUGGAAACAACAAAUGAAGAACGCAAGAAUUCACGAGUUACGAAGCUCCACCAUACAAUCACUCACCGCGAGGAAAACAGCGGAGUCGCCACGCAGUGGCUAAAGAUUCCGCCGCAGCCCCAUAGUUCGACACUCUCUGGGCAGAACUUCGAAGUGGUUGGACAGCAGGAUGUGAAGAAAGUUUUCCGAAAGAAAGGCACUGACGCCGGGAGCGCUGAAACUGAACGAUUGCUACGGGGCAGAACCCGUCAUACCACUCCCAGUGGAGCACGAAAGUGGGAAACAGCAAAGCGACUCACCGUUUGUUCUUUGUGCUGCAGGCCACUUUUUGUCUAAGCGACUCACACGUAGAUAGGUGAAUGCGUCAUUUUCCCGCGUUUAUAUCAGCAGGACGGGGUGGUGGGUCGGGACGGCAACAGUUGGAGGCCUGGCCCCUCUGUUGCCUCGUGGGAGCCGUAACAUCGGACUGCUCGCACUCGAG
rnacentral:lncRNA from 1 species